UACGUAGGGGGCUAGCGUUGUUCGGAAUCACUGGGCGUAAAGAGCUCGUAGGCGGUUCGUCGCGUCGGCUGUGAAAACCCGGAGCUCAACUCCGGGCCUGCAGUCGAUACGGGCGGACUUGAGUGUUGCAGGGGAGACUGGAAUUCCUGGUGUAGCGGUGAAAUGCGCAGAUAUCAGGAGGAACACCGGUGGCGAAGGCGGGUCUCUGGGCAACUACUGACGCUGAGGAGCGAAAGCGUGGGGAGCGAACAGG
rnacentral:rRNA from 1 species